GAUGAACGCUGGCGGCGUGCCUAAUACAUGCAAGUCGAGCGAACGGACGAGAAGCUUGCUUCUCUGAUGUUAGCGGCGGACGGGUGAGUAACACGUGGAUAACCUACCUAUAAGACUGGGAUAACUUCGGGAAACCGGAGCUAAUACCGGAUAAUAUUUUGAACCGCAUGGUUCAAAAGUGAAAGACGGUCUUGCUGUCACUUAUAGAUGGAUCCGCGCUGCAUUAGCUAGUUGGUAAGGUAACGGCUUACCAAGGCAACGAUGCAUAGCCGACCUGAGAGGGUGAUCGGCCACACUGGAACUGGGCCACGGUCCAGACUCCUACGGGAGGCAGCAGUAGGGAAUCUUCCGCAAUGGGCGAAAGCCUGACGGAGCAACGCCGCGUGAGUGAUGAAGGUCUUCGGAUCGUAAAACUCUGUUAUUAGGGGAGAACAUAUGUGUAAGUAACUGUGCACAUCUUGACGGUACCUAAUCAGAAAGCCACGGCUAACUACGUG
rnacentral:rRNA from 1 species